rnacentral:tRNA from 1 species
GCCCAGAUAGCUCAGUUGGUAGAGCACUUGACUGAAGCUCAAGGUGUCGCUGGUUCGAUUCCGGCUCUGGGCACCA